rfam:Fibrobacter sp. TWOS genome assembly, contig: Ga0136287_136
GGAGAGAUGUCGGAGUUGGUCGAUCGAGACGGUCUCGAAAACCGUAGACUCCUUUUCGGGGUCCGAGGGUUCGAAUCCCUCUCUCUCCU